CCAUGCAGUCAUCCAUGGCAGUGCUUUGAGAAUCCUUCCCCGCGUUCCCCAUGACUUGAACGGAGCAUCGCUCAGCGCCGUGAUGGCUCUAUUCAUACUCAGUUGAGUUUUCUCCUGCUCUCCACAGCUGCGCGGCCGUCUACGCAGCGGGCUUCUCUCUCUCUCUCCCUCAUGUGCGCUCAAAAGGUCAAGUAACGAGGGAGAAGAAGUGAAGGAGAAGUAACACGCAACAGCUGAGU
rnacentral:lncRNA from 12 species